UCUCUCUCAAUACUUUUUUUUUUUUUUUUUUUUUUUUCAUUUAAAUCAGUUUCCGAUCAUUUCUGUAGCCGUGAUAUGCAUCGUUUGCGUUCGUAUAUCAGCUGCCGAUUGAUCAGAUGAACGUUGGAUAGGCGGUGAUACGUUACACUUGUUUGCGGUUUGAGCAUGGUACCACAAGGAUCUCGCGUCCGAUAAGAAACUGCUCAUAGGUGAAGCUAUGCACGCGAUCAUCAUCUUGAUAGUGAAGGAAUAGGUGCCGGCAAACAGGGAGGCCUUUCUGAGAAGCUUCCUGUGAAAAUUCAUUUAGGUUCAGAAUGUGGCUAAUAUGAAACUUACUUCAUGUGUUCGGAAGAUGGUGGUGAAGGCAUUUAAUUCCAUCCAUCGGAGGAGCAGCUCUUCACUUCUUGUGUACUUAAAAAACGUUUCAGUAUGAUUAGUCGCAGACCUGAAUAGAGGCAAGCAUCCACUGGCAGGCCUUCACCAAAAUCAGCCAUCCAUCCUCUGACUCCAUCAUCCACCAUUUCUUUCAACACCUGCUUGAACCAACCUGCAGUAUGCGGAUGUGUCAAAUCCAACAUUCCCACAUCAAAAGCUGUGUUGGGCACCAUGUACGGUUCACCAUAUUUGUCUUUCACUAAGAUGCCCAAGUUCUUUGCCUCCUCAAAGAGGUGUCUCCUAGUGUUUGGCUUUGUAUCCAUCUGCAUUAGUGAACAGGUUCCUAAACAUUGUCAGGCAUUACUAUCAGCAAUUAAUCAUAUGAUAUGUGGAGAAGGUUGUGUCAGGUAUCAAUAAUUGCUAUGGAGUUUAUCAGUAGCAGUGAAGAUAAAUACCGGGGCAAGGCAAGGAUUGCAAUAAGUCAUCACUUUGAUAUGCUGAGCAUUAAGAUCUUUAAUUAAUUGCUGCCACCCAUAAUAUCUUGUGCUAUCUGUUUCCCAGUUCCACCAAAGCUGUGAACCAAUCACUGUCUCCCUCUGCCCUACCCAAUCCUACAAAAGUAGUACUUGUUGAGCCAUUGUGUGCAAUAUGGUCUUCAAUGUUGUUUCAGGUUUCAUCACCAUAAUAUCAAAAACAAAAUCUAAUUCAAAUUGCUGGUCUAGUUGGAGAAGUGUGAAUUUAAUCUGCCUUAAAGCAUAAUCCCACUUCUAAUAUGGAUCUUUCAUGAGUUCAGGUGGAUUUUGUACCUGCAACCAGAACGCUGACACUGGGACACCUUGCCUUUGCAUUUCAUUCCAGAUGCUGCGUACAGUAUCUGUGCCCCCCUGCAUUCCCACCACAGCACCAGAAAUUAUCCACUCUGGAAGUUCUGGGGGCCUUCCUAUACUUUCUGUUAAGUGCUCAAUGAGCUCACAAGAUGCUAUGAUAAGGAAGGAAUGCAUUACAGGGGUAGUCUGUAUUGGUAUUGAAAUGGCUGCACAUUAUACCUGUAGCUCACCAAAUUGGCUGCAAAGGUAAUAGAUGAAACUGUGACAAUCCCUUUUUUCCUUGGAAGGAGUCUGGACCAUCUGACACGGCAUCGAUUAAUCUGCAGACCAAACUUCUGGGAAAAACUUGUCAGCCAGUAGCUAGCAGAGGUAGAAGCUUCUUUUUCCGGUGUGUUCUCAUUUACAUGAGAUGAAAGCUUCACCAGGAAUGGUGGACCAUGCAUGUCUGGCAGGCUGAGACUUGUGAGAUAUGGAAAGAAAUCCGCCGUUCUUUGCUGACCAGUUCAAUUGAAAAUCCUGG